UACUCCUACGGGAGGCAGCAGUGGGGAAUAUUGCACAAUGGGGGAAACCCUGAUGCAGCCAUGCCGCGUGUGUGAAGAAGGCCUUCGGGUUGUAAAGCUCUUUCAGCGAGGAGGAAAGGUCAGUAGCUAAUAUCUGCUGGCUGUGACGUUACUCGCAGAAGAAGCACCGGCUAACUCCGUGCCAGCAGCCGCGGUAAUA
rnacentral:rRNA from 1 species